GUCUGGAGCUGAGCGGCUACAAGCGGCAGUGGUGUUGUAGCUUUGGUGGAGAGAAGGAUCUGGGUUUUCACACUGGAUUCAAACAUGCUUUCUGCCCCAGGGGCAAAAUAUGGUUACGAUGGAGGAUUUUGACAGGUUCAUUUCCAUCUUCUGGUCUCAGCCAAAACACAGGAGCUUGACUGCACCUUGGACUUACUGGCCCUGACUACUCUACUCUACUCCAUGGACAUGACGCCUGAUGUCUCUGUUGCAGCCUUCGACAAGACCUAGUCUCAGAAAUAUAUAAUAUUUAUGUACUGAGGACAUAUGCACCUUUUCAGAUGGAUUACAGGAAUACAUUACAUUAAUCGACGUCCGUUUGACAUUGAUGACUGUCAUGUCCUGCCAGUUUGAACAGAACAGUGUUACAUAGAAAUAAUUCUUGUGCAAAUAAUUGUGUUAAAAAAGAUUCUCACCCAACAAAAUCAGAAGCUGUAAUGCCACAGUAUCUACAUGCAA